CGGACGGGUGAGUAACGCGUGGAUAACCUGCCUCACACAGGGGAUAACAGUUAGAAAUGACUGCUAAUACCGCAUAAGCGCACAGUACCGCAUGGUACAGUGUGAAAAACUCCGGUGGUGUGAGAUGGAUCCGCGUCUGAUUAGGUAGUUGGUGGGGUAACGGCCCACCAAGCCGACGAUCAGUAGCCGACCUGAGAGGGUGACCGGCCACAUUGGGACUGAGACACGGCCCAA
rnacentral:rRNA from 1 species